rnacentral:rRNA from 1 species
UACAGAGGGGGCGAGCGUUGUUCGGAAUUACUGGGCGUAAAGGGCGCGUAGGCGGCCCGCUAAGUCGAACGUGAAAUCCCCAGGCUCAACCUGGGAACUGCGUCCGAUACUGGCAGGCUUGAAUACGGGAGAGGGAUGUGGAAUUCCAGGUGUAGCGGUGAAAUGCGUAGAUAUCUGGAGGAAUACCGGUGGCGAAGGCGGCAUCCUGGACCGGCAUUGACGCUGAGGAGCGAAAGCCAGGGGAGCAAACGGG